UACAACAUAAAAAAUAGAAAUACUACAUUAAACAUAUGUACGAUUACCAUUUUACAUUUUUAUUUUAAAUAAAUAAUAUGUAAACUUUCAACAUAAAAAAUAGAAAAACUACAUUAAACAUAUGUAAGACUACCAUUUUUCACUAAAAAAAACAUCUUAUCUCCAUAAUGUAACAUUACUAUUUUGUAAAAAAAACAUUAUAUAUAAUUUUGAAAAUAAUAAAAUAAUAUGUAAACAUACAACAUAAAAAAAGGAAAUUACUAAUAAAAGGGACCUUUUGAGGCUCCAUAGAGCGUCCACAUCAGCAAAA
rnacentral:lncRNA from 1 species